UACAGCCUUUUGGGUGUGUUUUGUGGAUCGUGAGGAGUUAAACGCCUUCAUGCCUGCAAUUCGUGCACUUUGGGUGUACUUGCCCGUGUGGUUGGUUAACAUCCAUUUUGGUUAUUAAAAAAUGACUGGAGGAAUGUAGCUUCGAUCUCGUAUUGAAGUGUUAUAGCCUUCGGUAGAUGUGAUGAUCGAGAUUGAGGAUUGCAACGGAUACCCUUCGGGGCUACCUGUCUGGUCUCUGAUCGUUGCUCUGGUGCCGAAAGCUUGCUUACGGUUAUCAAAGUCGAUGGUCAAUAGGUUAGAACGGGUUAAAUUCGUUAAGGAUGUUGACGUAAUGGCUUU
rnacentral:rRNA from 1 species